rnacentral:rRNA from 1 species
CCUACGGGGGACUGCAGUCGAGAAUCAUUCACAAUGGGGGAAACCCUGAUGGUGCGACGCCGCGUGGGGGAAUGAAGGUCUUCGGAUUGUAAACCCCUGUCAUGUGGGAGCAAAUUAAAAAGAUAGUACCACAAGAGGAAGAGACGGCUAACUCUGUGCCAGCAGCCGCGGUAAUACAGAGGUCUCAAGCGUUGUUCGGAAUCACUGGGCGUAAAGCGUGCGUAGGCUGUUUCGUAAGUCGUGUGUGAAAGGCGCGGGCUCAACCCGCGGACGGCACAUGAUACUGCGAGACUAGAGUAAGGGAGGGGGAACCGGAAUUCUCGGUGUAGCAGUGAAAUGCGUAGAUAUCGGGAGGAACACUCGUGGCGAAGGCGGGUUCCUGGACAUUAACUGACGCUGAGGCACGAAGGCCAGGGGAGCGAAAGGGAUUAGAUACCCUAGUAGUC